rnacentral:rRNA from 1 species
AGCAGCCGCGGUAAUUCCAGCUCCAAUAGCGUAUAUUAAAGUUGUUGCAGUUAAAAAGCUCGUAGUUGAAUUUCAGGCCUGGCUGGACGGUCCGCCCUUCGGGUGAGUACUGUCUGUGGUCGGGUCCUACCUUCUGGCGAAGCGUCAUGGCCUUAACCGGCCGUGGCGGGGAACCAGGACUUUUACUGUGAAAAAAUUAGAGUGUUCAAAGCAGGCAAUCGCUUGGAUACAUUAGCAUGGAAUAAUGGAAUAGGACAAUGGUUCUAUUUGUUGGUUUCUAGGACCGUUGUAAUGAUUAAUAGGGAUAGUUGGGGGCAUUAGUAUUCAAUUGUCAGAGGUGAAAUUCUUGGAUUUAUUGAAGACUAACUACUGCGAAAGCAUUUGCCAAGGAUGUUUUCUAUUAAUCAAGAACGAAAGUUAGGGGAUCGAAGACGAUCAGAUACCGUCGUAGUCUUAACCAUAAACUAUGCCGACUAGGAAUCGGGCGAUGUUGAAAAAUGACGCGCUCGGCACCUCACU